rnacentral:rRNA from 1 species
GAAUUCACGGAUCCAGAGUUUGAUCYUBBYUGAGGAUGAACGCUAGCUACAGGCUUAACACAUGCAAGUCGAGGGGCAGCAUUCCAGUUGGCUUGCAAACUGGAGAUGGCGACCGGCGCACGGGUGAGUAACACGUAUCCAACCUGCCGAUAACUCGGGGAUAGCCUUUCGAAAGAAAGAUUAAUACCCGAUGGCAUAAUAGAACCGCAUKUUUUGAUUWUUAAAGAAUUUCGGUUAUCGAUGGGGAUGCGUUCCAUUAGGCAGUUGGUGGGGUAACGGCCCACCAAACCUUCGAUGGAUAGGGGUUCUGAGAGGAAGGUCCCCCACAUUGGAACUGAGACACGGUCCAAGCUCUACGGGAGGCAGCAGUGAGGAAUAUUGGUCAAUGGACGAGAGUCUGAACCAGCCAAGUAGCGUGAAGGAUGACUGCCCUAUGGGUUGUAAACUUCUUUUAUAUGGAAUAAAGUGGUCCACGUGUGAU